AGGAAGCCUUGAAAAAGAAGGUGGACUUUGACCUUGUGGGAGGAGGCAUGGAAGCUGCAUGAGCGCUUUUCCGAGGAAGACUGCAUUUCUCUACAUCUAAGGGGUACAGCCUUCAACACUGCUGCUGACCCCAUGCAGCAGGAGAUGAGGACACAGUCGACAUUCAGAUUUCACGUGAUUUCCCCCAAGGAGUGCCAUGCUCUGAAGAGCCGCAGAGCGGCCAAACUGAGAGGGGAAGAGCACCUGAAGGUCGCUAUCACAUGGCAAGGUGUCAGCCCACACGGGACCACAGAUCAGCAACCCUUCAAAUCUGGAGCGUGAAUGAUUUCAUCGAUGGUGAGACACAGCUAGUGAGGCUGGGAGGGAAGAGGGCAGAAGGCGGGGAGGCCGCCGGCAGAACGGGGAGGCAGGGUGUUUCACCUCGGCCUCGGAGCAGUGGGACAAGGCAGCUGACUCUCGAGGGAGAUGGGGUGUGCA